CUACAAAUGAAUUGACGGGGACCCGCACAAGCAGCGGAGCGUGUGGUUUAAUUCGUUGCUACACGAAGAACCUUACCUGGGUUUGACAUAUAGGUUGUAGGGAACUGAAAGGGACCGACCCUUCGGGGAGCCUAUACAGGUGUUGCAUGGCUGUCGUCAGCUCGUGUCGUGAGAUGUUCGGUUAAGUCCGCUAACGAGCGCAACCCUCGUCGUAUGUUAUAUGUGUCAUACGAGACUGCCGGUAAAAGCCGGAGGAAGGUGAGGAUGAUGUCAAGUCAGCAUGACCUUUAUAUCCAGGGCUACACACACGCUACAAUGGUCUGUACAAUGGGUAGCCAAGCCGCGAGGCGGAGCCAAUCCUGAAAGCAGGCCUCAGUUCAGAUUGCAGUCUGCAACUCGACUGCAUGAAGCCGGAGUUGCUAGUAACCGCAGGUCAGCAAUACUGCGGUGAAUACGUUCCCGGGCCUU
rnacentral:rRNA from 1 species